CUCCAGUGGGCAUCCUUUAUCCAUCCAGACCCUCAUACAGAUGGUUGGAGUUUUGAUACACCUAAAGUACCAUGCAAGAGCACUCAUUUUCACUCUUGAGACCAUGGUGUGACCUGCAAGGUCGAAUGGAGACUGUAAACAAGACAAUCUUGGAGUCACCUGCCUUCACUGGUCCAGUUGUUAGUCCAAUUACAGAUGGAGAUUAUAGAAGAGGAUGAUGUCUUUUCUCCAACAUCUUUCUAGACUGAUAAAAGAUCUAGACAGGCUCAAACAAAAGUUAACAGACAGAGGGGCUUAUAUAGAGAAUGGUAAGAACCAUUUUAUCCGUCAAACUUUUUACCAAUUAUUGUAAACAUAAACAAUAUUAUAGGGCUUAAUUUGUUUUAAACAUUACUUCAAUGUACUGUAUCUGUUUAAGGUGAGCAGCUACACAUAAAAGAAGAACAUGGAUAAUCUGCCCAGAGUUGUUAACCAGCAAUGCAGCUAUACAACUAAAUUGAUGCAGGCGGAAACAAUAAUGCAGCUGCUGCAGAUGAAGAAUCCGUCCGUCUACAACUGAAGGAGACGCGGAAAUUCCUUCCAAGAUGUUCUUUGCCCGAGGAAG